rnacentral:rRNA from 1 species
UACAGAGGUCCCAAGCGUUGUUCGGAUUCACUGGGCGUAAAGGGUGCGUAGGUGGCAUGUUAAGUUUGAUGUGAAAGCUCAGGGCUCAACCCUGAAAUGGCAUUGAAUACUAGCGUGCUGGAGGUUUGGAGGGGGGACUGGAAUUCUUGGUGUAGCAGUGAAAUGCGCAGAUAUCAGGAGGAACACCGGUGGCGAAGGCGGGUCUCUGGGCCGUAACUGACGCUGAGGAGCGAAAGCGUGGGGAGCGAACAGG